AUUACACAUGCAAGUCGAACGCCCCGCAAGGGGAGUGGCAGACGGGUGAGUAACACGUGGGAACAUGCCCAAAGGUACGGAAUAUUCUCGGGAAACUGGGAGCAAUACCGUAUGUGCCCGAAAGGGGAAAGAUUUAUCGCCUUUGGAUUGGCCCGCGUUGGAUUAGCUAGUUGGCGGGGUAACGGCCCACCAAGCCUGCGAUCAGUAACUGGUGUGAGAGCACGACCAGUCACACGGGCACUGAGACACGGGCCCGACUCCUACGGGAGGCAGCAGUGGGGAAUAUUGGACAAUGGGCGCAAGCCUGAUCCAGCCAUGCCGCGUGGGUGAAGAAGGCCUUCGGGUUGUAAAGCCCUUUUGUCCGGAAAGAAAAGCACUGGAUUAAUACUUCGGUGUUCUGACGGUACCGGAAGAAUAAGCACCGGCUAACUUCGUGCCAGCAGCCGCGGUAAUACGAAGGGUGCAAGCGUUACUCGGAAUUACUGGGCGUAAAGCGUGCGUAGGUGGUUCGUUAAGUCUGAUGUGAAAGCCCUGGGCUCAACCUGGGAAUUGCAUUGGAUACUGGCGGGCUAGAGUGCGGUAGAGGAUGGCGGAAUUCCCGGUGUAGCAGUGAAAUGCGUAGAGAUCGGGAGGAACACCGAUGGCGUAGGCAAUCCCCUGGGCCUGUACUGACGCUCAUGCACGAAAGCGUGGGGAGCAAACAGGAUUAGAUACCCUGGUAGUCCACGCCCUAAACGAUGUCAACUGGUUGUUGGACGGCUUGCUGUUCAGUAACGAAGCUAACGUGUGAAGUUGACCGCCUGGGGAGUACGGCCGCAAGGUUGAAACUCAAAAGAAUUGACGG
rnacentral:rRNA from 1 species